rnacentral:rRNA from 1 species
GGAGCAAUCAGGAUUAGAUACCAUGGUAGUCCACGCCGUAAACGAUGUCGACUUGGAGGUUGUGCCCUUGAGGCGUGGCUUCCGGAGCUAACGCGUUAAGUCGACCGCCUGGGGAGUACGGCCGCAAGGUUAAAACUCAAAUGAAUUGACGGGGGCCCGCACAAGCGGUGGAGCAUGUGGUUUAAUUCGAUGCAACGCGAAGAACCUUACCUACUCUUGACAUCCAGAGAACUUAGCAGAGAUGCUUUGGUGCCUUCGGGAACUCUGAGACAGGUGCUGCAUGGCUGUCGUCAGCUCGUGUUGUGAAAUGUUGGGUUAAGUCCCGCAACGAGCGCAACCCUUAUCCUUUGUUGCCAGCGGUUAGGCCGGGAACUCAAAGGAGACUGCCAGUGAUAAACUGGAGGAAGGUGGGGAUGACGUCAAGUCAUCAUGGCCCUUACGAGUAGGGCUACACACGUGCUACAAUGGCGCAUACAAAGAGAAGCGACCUCGCGAGAGCAAGCGGACCUCAUAAAGUGCGUCGUAGUCCGGAUUGGAGUCUGCAACUCGACUCCAUGAAGUCGGAAUCGCUAGUAAUCGUGGAUCAGAAUGCCACGGUGAAUACGUUCCCGGGCCUUGUACACACCGCCCGUCACACCAUGGGAGUGGGUUGCAAAAGAAGUAGGUAGCUUAACCUUCGGGAGGGCGCUUACCACUUUGUGAUUCAUGACUGGGGUGAAG